CUCGUAGGCGGGGUUCCAAGUCAAAUGUGAAAGCUCCCGGCUUAACUGGGAGAGGUCAUUUGAUACUGGGGCUCUUGAGGGCAGGAGAGGGAGGUGGAAUUCCCGGUGGAGCGGUGGAAUGCGUAGAGAUCGGGAGGAACACCAGUGGCGAAAGCGGCCUCCUGGCCUGUGCCUGACGCUGAGGAGCGAAAGCUAGGGGAGCGAACG
rnacentral:rRNA from 1 species